rnacentral:rRNA from 1 species
AGUGAACGCUGGCGGUAGGCCUAACACAUGCAAGUCGAACGGCAGCACAGUAAGAGCUUGCUCUUACGGGUGGCGAGUGGCGGACGGGUGAGGAAUACAUCGGAAUCUACUUUUUCGUGGGGGAUAACGUAGGGAAACUUACGCUAAUACCGCAUACGACCUACGGGUGAAAGCAGGGGAUCUUCGGACCUUGCGCGAUUGAAUGAGCCGAUGUCGGAUUAGCUAGUUGGCGGGGUAAAGGCCCACCAAGGCGACGAUCCGUAGCUGGUCUGAGAGGAUGAUCAGCCACACUGGAACUGAGACACGGCCCAGACUCCUACGGGAGGCAGCAGUGGGGAAUAUUGGACAAUGGGCGCAAGCCUGAUCCAGCCAUACCGCGCGGGUGAAGAAGGCCUUCGGGUUGUAAAGCCCUUUUGUUGGGAAAGAAAAGCAGCAGGUUAAUACCCCGCUGUUCUGACGGUACCCAAAGAAUAAGCACCGGCUAACUUCGUG